GAUGAAGAACGUAGCGAACUGCGAUAAGUAAUGUGAAUUGCAGAAUUCAGUGAAUCAUCGAGUCUUUGAACGCACAUUGCGCCCCCUGGCAUUCCGGGGGGCAUGCCUGUCCGAGCGUCAUUGCUGCCCUUCAAGCCCGGCUUGUGUGUUGGGUCGUCGUCCCCCCCGGGGGACGGGCCCGAAAGGCAGCGGCGGCACCGCGUCCGGUCCUCGAGCGUAUGGGGCUUCGUCACCCGCUCCGUAGGCCCGGCCGGCGCCCGCCGGCGACCCCCCUCAAUCUUUCCAGGUUGACCUCGGAUCAGGUAGGGAUACCCGCUGAACUUAAGCAUAUCAAUAAGCGGAGGA
rnacentral:misc_RNA from 1 species